rnacentral:misc_RNA from 1 species
UGAUGCCUAAAUAGUCAAUGAAGUAUUCAAGCAUUUAUAAGCAUGUGAAGGAAGAAGAAGACUAGCAUUUUAUUACUUAUAAUUGUGGGAAAAUAUGCUUCCAUUUAAAUAUCUUUCUUCAACCUUACUACAGUUGAAACAUGGAAAUGAUGCAGCAAUGAUCUUGAUAAUGCAGAUGAUGAUGGCACAAAAUAUUAAGCAGAUCAUAACGAAAAAACAUUAAAUUGCACAUGGUCUAGCAGCACAGGGAAAACUUAUAUAAAGCAACUAGCAAUCAAAUUGCCAAUUAUUUUAAUUAUUUUCACCCAGUACAUGGCCAAUCUAAAGCAAUUAGCAGAAAACUUCAUGUUUCAAUGCAAGCCAUUCGUUCACUUGCCUC